GGGUUGUGAGGUUAAGCGACUAAGCGUACACGGUGGAUGCCCUGGCAGUCAGAGGCGAUGAAGGACGUGCUAAUCUGCGAUAAGCGUCGGUGAGGUGAUAUGAACCGUUAUAACCGGCGAUUUCCGAAUGGGGAAACCCAGUGUGAUUCGUCACACUAUCAUUAACUGAAUCCAUAGGUUAAUGAGGCGAACCGGGGGAACUGAAACAUCUAAGUACCCCGAGGAAAAGAAAUCAACCGAGAUUCCCCCAGUAGCGGCGAGCGAACGGGGAGCAGCCCAGAGCCUGAAUCAGUGUGUGUGUUAGUGGAAGCGUCUGGAAAGGCGCGCGAUACAGGGUGACAGCCCCGUACACAAAAAUGCACAUAUUGUGAGCUCGAUGAGUAGGGCGGGACACGUGGUAUCCUGUCUGAAUAUGGGGGGACCAUCCUCCAAGGCUAAAUACUCCUGACUGACCGAUAGUGAACCAGUACCGUGAGGGAAAGGCGAAAAGAACCCCGGCGAGGGGAGUGAAAAAGAACCUGAAACCGUGUACGUACAAGCAGUGGGAGCACGCUUCGGCGUGUGACUGCGUACCUUUUGUAUAAUGGGUCAGCGACUUAUAUUCUGUAGCAAGGUUAACCGAAUAGGGGAGCCGAAGGGAAACCGAGUCUUAACUGGGCGUUAAGUUGCAGGGUAUAGACCCGAAACCCGGUGAUCUAGCCAUGGGCAGGUUGAAGGUUGGGUAACACUAACUGGAGGACCGAACCGACUAAUGUUGAAAAAUUAGCGGAUGACUUGUGGCUGGGGGUGAAAGGCCAAUCAAACCGGGAGAUAGCUGGUUCUCCCCGAAAGCUAUUUAGGUAGCGCCUCGUGAAUUCAUCUCCGGGGGUAGAGCACUGUUUCGGCAAGGGGGUCAUCCCGACUUACCAACCCGAUGCAAACUGCGAAUACCGGAGAAUGUUAUCACGGGAGACACACGGCGGGUGCUAACGUCCGUCGUGAAGAGGGAAACAACCCAGACCGCCAGCUAAGGUCCCAAAGUCAUGGUUAAGUGGGAAACGAUGUGGGAAGGCCCAGACAGCCAGGAUGUUGGCUUAGAAGCAGCCAUCAUUUAAAGAAAGCGUAAUAGCUCACUGGUCGAGUCGGCCUGCGCGGAAGAUGUAACGGGGCUAAACCAUGCACCGAAGCUGCGGCAGCGACACUAUGUGUUGUUGGGUAGGGGAGCGUUCUGUAAGCCUGCGAAGGUGUACUGUGAGGUAUGCUGGAGGUAUCAGAAGUGCGAAUGCUGACAUAAGUAACGAUAAAGCGGGUGAAAAGCCCGCUCGCCGGAAGACCAAGGGUUCCUGUCCAACGUUAAUCGGGGCAGGGUGAGUCGACCCCUAAGGCGAGGCCGAAAGGCGUAGUCGAUGGGAAACAGGUUAAUAUUCCUGUACUUGGUGUUACUGCGAAGGGGGGACGGAGAAGGCUAUGUUGGCCGGGCGACGGUUGUCCCGGUUUAAGCGUGUAGGCUGAUUUUCCAGGCAAAUCCGGAGAAUCAAGGCUGAGGCGUGAUGACGAGGCACUACGGUGCUGAAGCAACAAAUGCCCUGCUUCCAGGAAAAGCCUCUAAGCAUCAGGUAACAUCAAAUCGUACCCCAAACCGACACAGGUGGUCAGGUAGAGAAUACCAAGGCGCUUGAGAGAACUCGGGUGAAGGAACUAGGCAAAAUGGUGCCGUAACUUCGGGAGAAGGCACGCUGAUACGUAGGUGAAGUCCCUCGCGGAUGGAGCUGAAAUCAGUCGAAGAUACCAGCUGGCUGCAACUGUUUAUUAAAAACACAGCACUGUGCAAACACGAAAGUGGACGUAUACGGUGUGACGCCUGCCCGGUGCCGGAAGGUUAAUUGAUGGGGUCAGCGCAAGCGAAGCUCUUGAUCGAAGCCCCGGUAAACGGCGGCCGUAACUAUAACGGUCCUAAGGUAGCGAAAUUCCUUGUCGGGUAAGUUCCGACCUGCACGAAUGGCGUAAUGAUGGCCAGGCUGUCUCCACCCGAGACUCAGUGAAAUUGAACUCGCUGUGAAGAUGCAGUGUACCCGCGGCAAGACGGAAAGACCCCGUGAACCUUUACUAUAGCUUGACACUGAACAUUGAGCCUUGAUGUGUAGGAUAGGUGGGAGGCUUUGAAGUGUGGACGCCAGUCUGCAUGGAGCCGGCCUUGAAAUACCACCCUUUAAUGUUUGAUGUUCUAACGUAGACCCGUGAUCCGGGUUGCGGACAGUGUCUGGUGGGUAGUUUGACUGGGGCGGUCUCCUCCUAAAGAGUAACGGAGGAGCACGAAGGUUGGCUAAUCCUGGUCGGACAUCAGGAGGUUAGUGCAAUGGCAUAAGCCAGCUUGACUGCGAGCGUGACGGCGCGAGCAGGUGCGAAAGCAGGUCAUAGUGAUCCGGUGGUUCUGAAUGGAAGGGCCAUCGCUCAACGGAUAAAAGGUACUCCGGGGAUAACAGGCUGAUACCGCCCAAGAGUUCAUAUCGACGGCGGUGUUUGGCACCUCGAUGUCGGCUCAUCACAUCCUGGGGCUGAAGUAGGUCCCAAGGGUAUGGCUGUUCGCCAUUUAAAGUGGUACGCGAGCUGGGUUUAGAACGUCGUGAGACAGUUCGGUCCCUAUCUGCCGUGGGCGCUGGAGAACUGAGGGGGGCUGCUCCUAGUACGAGAGGACCGGAGUGGACGCAUCACUGGUGUUCGGGUUGUCAUGCCAAUGGCACUGCCCGGUAGCUAAAUGCGGAAGAGAUAAGUGCUGAAAGCAUCUAAGCACGAAACUUGCCCCGAGAUGAGUUCUCCCUGACCCUUUAAGGGUCCUGAAGGAACGUUGAAGACGACGACGUUGAUAGGCCGGGUGUGUAAGCGCAGCGAUGCGUUGAGCUAACCGGUACUAAUGAACCGUGAGGCUUAACCUUACAACGCCGAAGGUGUUU
rnacentral:rRNA from 1 species